GGCUGGGGCUGGGGCUCAGCACCCGGCCCUGCCAGGGGCUGGGGCUGCGGGGUGGCACUGCCUGGGGCGGGUGCUGUUCCCCAGCCCAGGUGCCGGUCUGCUGGGGGAACCCGUGGUCACGCCGUGGCCCGGGCUGGCGUUUGGCAGGGGCUCAGCUGCCUCACGCAGCACCUGCCGGGGGUGUGCUAAAAAUGGAGGCUUGUCACGGGGGGGCUGGGGCCCCCCGCUGCCAUGCAGGAGCUGCCAGGCUGCCCGGUGCUGCCGGCUCCGCGGUGAGACCCGGGUGGCUUAGCCCUGCUGUCAGCCUGCCGUUGCUUGUUCUGAAAUAAUCUCAUAAAUCACAAGCUGGUGUGUUUUUCCUGAUGUGCGUACACGAAGGCUUAUUCUAGCCUGGAGGCUGUGUACCCAGCACCCGACUGCUUGCACAGAACUUUGUGGCACUUCCUUUUAUUAUGGUCUUUCUUGCAAACAAAUGCUAAGCUUACACAAAUGUUUGCAGGAGGAAGAUAAGGAGCUGUGAAUAGCUGUGAAUAGAGUCAAAAUGAAUGGCCGGGCCAUGUUUGGUGACUGCAUUUUUCUUUCCUCCCCAGUUUUCUCCCAGCUGGGGUCACUGCCACAGGCUCACCACGGGGCCACUCUUGCAGGGGUGCGUGGGUCUAGCAGGGGACCCCGGCAAACCCCCGAGGGCGCUGGGGACGGCUUGUCCCUGGGAGAGCGGAGCUGUUGGGAGCCCUCUGCGAGCCCCCCGUGACUGCUCCUAACGAGCUGGAGCCGGGGCCGGAGUGAAAAUCUAAACCAGCUGGGCUUGGGUUUCCAACGUCCUCCAUGUGCCUUUGACAGCGAGGCUCCCACUGCGUUUGCUCCGUGGCCGUUUCUUUUCCUUCUCUCUCCGGCUGCCUGGGAACGGGAACGCCGCGUGGUGCGCGAGGGAGGCAGGAAGGAAAGCCUGCAGCUUUUUAAAACUCGCAAUCUUCAGGGAAUUUCACUGCAAUCCAGGCCCGUCCGCGACCAACUGAAUAACGGUGCAGGGUUUGAAUCGGCGUCCCGCCCCCGCGGGCAGGGCUCCCUGCCCGGCCCUCCCUCGCCGCUGCCUGCGCCGAGCCCUGCCCGCAGCCGCUGCCUGCCCGCGGCUCUGCCGCACCAGCACCCAUGGGUGCGCAGUGCCGCGCUGGCCCCGGGGCCGGGGGCUGCCCUGCUGGGGCUUUCCCAGAGCCUGCCCCAGCUCCAGUGCAGGCAUCGACCCUGUGCUGCUUUUUCUGUCCCGUGCCCAAAGACCCACCGGCACGGCGGCUGAGGCCCAGCACCUUACUUCACAGGCUGCUCAAGUCCCACUGACUUGCAGUGGCUUUUUCCUUCCGUGUGGAAAAUGCAGGGCA
ensembl:lncRNA